UUGGAGGGCAAGUCUGGUGCCAGCAGCCGCGGNAAUUCCAGCUCCAAUAGCGUAUAUUAAAGUUGUUGCAGUUAAAAAGCUCGUAGUUGAAUUUCGGGGUCAGCAGGUUGGUCGUGCCAAUGGUAUGCACUGGCCUUGCUGAUUCCUCCCUCUUGAUGAGCCGUAAUGUCAUUAAUUUGGUGUUGCGGGGAAUCAGGACUGUUACUUUGAAAAAAUUAGAGUGUUUAAAGCAGGCAAGCGCUUGAAUACAUUAGCAUGGAAUAAUGAAAUAGGACGUUUGAUCCUAUUUUGUUGGUUUCUAGGAUUGACGUAAUGAUUAAUAGGGAUAGUUGGGGGCAUUAGUAUUCAAUUGUCAGAGGUGAAAUUCUUGGAUUUAUUGAAGACUAACUACUGCGAAAGCAUUUGCCAAGGAUGUUUUCAUUAAUCAAGAACGAAAGUUAGGGGAUCGAAGACGAUCAGAUACCGUCGUAGUCUUAACCAUAAACUAUGCCGACUAGGGAUCGGAUGAUGUUAAUUUUUUAAUGACUCAUUCGGCGCCUUACGGGAAAC
rnacentral:rRNA from 1 species